GACGAACCGUGCGAACGUUAUUCGGAAUUACUGGGCGUAAAGGGCGCGUAGGCGGUGCGGUAAGUCACCUGUGAAAUCUCCUGGCUCAACUGGGAGCUUGCAGGCGAAACUGCCGUGCUGGAGUGUGGGAGAGGUGCGUGGAAUUCCUGGUGUAGCGGUGAAAUGCGUAGAUAUCAGGAGGAACACCUGUGGCGAAAGCGGCGCACUGGACCACAACUGACGCUGAGGCGCGAAAGCUAGGGGAGCAAACAGG
rnacentral:rRNA from 1 species